AGCAGCCGCGGUAAUUCCAGCUCCAAUAGCGUAUAUUAAAGUUGUUGCAGUUAAAAAGCUCGUAGUUGAAUUUCGGGGUUAGCAGGUCGGUCGUGCCAUCGGUAUGAACUGGUCUCGCUGAUCCCUCCCUCUUGACGAACUGUGAUGCCAUUAAUUUGGUGUCGCAGGGAAUCAGGACUGUUACUUUGAAAAAUUAGAGUGUUUAAAGCAGGCUCACGCUUGAAUACAUUAGCAUGGAAUAAUGAAAUAGGACGUUUGAUCCUAUUUUGUUGGUUUCUAGGAUUGACGUAAUGAUUAAUAGGGAUAGUUGGGGCAUUAGUAUUCAAUUGUCAGAGGUGAAAUUCUUGGAUUUAUUGAAGACUAACUACUGCGAAAGCAUUUGCCAAGGAUGUUUUCAUUAAUCAAGAACGAAAGUUAGGGGAUCGAAGACGAUCAGAUACCGUCGUAGUCUUAAACCAUAAACUAUGCCG
rnacentral:rRNA from 1 species